rnacentral:rRNA from 1 species
AACCUCCGCAAUGCGAGAAAUCGCGACGGGGGGACCCCAAGUGCUACUCUUAACGGGGUGGCUUUUCUUAAGUGUAAAAAGCUUUUGGAAUGAGGGCUGGGCAAGACCGGUGCCAGCCGCCGCGGUAACACCGGCAGCUCUAGUGGUAGCAGUUUUUAUUGGGCCUAAAGCGUCCGUAGCCGGUUUGAUAAGUCUCUGGUGAAAUCCUGUAGCUUAACUGUGGGAAUUGCUGGAGAUACUAUUAGACUUGAGACCGGGAGAGGUUAGAGGUACUCCCAGGGUAGAGGUGAAAUUCUGUAAUCCUGGGAGGACCGCCUGUUGCGAAGGCGUCUAACUGGAACGGUUCUGACGGUGAGGGACGAAAGUUAGGGGCGCGAACCGGAUUAGAUACCCGGGUAGUCCUAACUGUAAACGAUGCGGACUUGGUGUUGGGGUGGCUUUGAGCUGCUCCAGUGCCGAAGGGAAGCUGUUAAGUCCGCCGCCUGGGAAGUACGGUCGCAAGACUGAAACUUAAAGGAAUU